UACGUAGGGUGCGAGCGUUGUCCGGAAUUACUGGGCGUAAAGGGCUCGUAGGCGGCCAACUAAGUCAGACGUGAAAUCCCUCGGCUUAACCGGGGAACUGCGUCUGAUACUGGAUGGCUUGAGAUUGGGAGAGGGAUGCGGAAUUCCAGGUGUAGCGGUGAAAUGCGUAGAUAUCUGGAGGAACACCGGUGGCGAAGGCGGCAUCCUGGACCAACACUGACGCUGAGGAGCGAAAGCGUGGGGAGCGAACAGG
rnacentral:rRNA from 1 species